GCCUUGAGAGUUUCUACUUUCUAUGUUCGACUACUGUUUUUGUUAUCAGAAGCAGAAUUAUCUGCGUGCAUUCAAAACAAGAUAAGUGAAAGCUCCCUGCAGGAUAAACAAAGCUGCAUCAGAAGAAUCAGAAUUCUAAAGGUGAAUCUCAAGGCAAUGACAAUAACUUAUUAUUCCGUGGAAUUUUAGGCACAUGAGCUUAAAGGUCAAAGACGGAUGCCAUAAAAGCAUAUAGAGAUUACAUGUCUAUCUUAAUUCUAAAGACUAAGACCCACUCCAUAUCUAUAUAGUCAUAUUACUUUGUCACCAUGAAUUCCUACCAAAUAAAAACUCUCUUUCCUUGCA